rnacentral:rRNA from 1 species
GAUGAACGCUGGCGGCGUGCCUAAUACAUGCAAGUCGAGCGAACGGACGAGAAGCUUGCUUUUCUGAUGUUAGCGGCGGACGGGUGAGUAACACGUGGAUAACCUACCUAUAAGACUGGGAUAACUUCGGGAAACCGGAGCUAAUACCGGAUAAUAUUUUGAACCGCAUGGUUCAAAAGUGAAAGACGGUCUUGCUGUCACUUAUAGAUGGAUCCGCGCUGCAUUAGCUAGUUGGUAAGGUAACGGCUUACCAAGGCAACGAUGCAUAGCCGACCUGAGAGGGUGAUCGGCCACACUGGAACUGAGACACGGUCCAGACUCCUACGGGAGGCAGCAGUAGGGAAGCUUCCGCAAUGGGCGAAAGCCUGACGGAGCAACGCCGCGUGAGUGAUGAAGGUCUUCGGAUCGUAAAACUCUGUUAUUAGGGAAGAACAUAUGUGUAAGUAACUGUGCACAUCUUGACGGUACCUAAUCAGAAAGCCACGGCUAACUACGUGC